rnacentral:rRNA from 1 species
UAGCACAGAGAGCUUGCUCUCGGGUGACGAGCGGCGGACGGGUGAGUAAUGUCUGGGAUACUGCUUGAUGGAGGGGGAUAACUACUGGAAACGGUAGUUAAUACCGCAUAAUGUCGCAAGACCAAAGUGGGGGUCCUUCGGCCCUCAUGCCAUCAGAUGUGCCCAGAUGGGAUUAGUUAGUAGGUGGGGUAAUGGCUCACCUGGGCGACGAUCCUUAGCUGUUCUGAGAGGAUGUCCAGCCACACUGGAAUUGAGACACGGUCCAGAUUCUUACGGGAGGCACCAGUGGGGAAUAUUGCACAAUGGGCGCAACCUUGAUGCAGCCAUGCCGCGUGUGUGAAGAAGGCCUUCGGGUUGUAAAGCACUUUCAGCGGGGAGGAAGGCGUUAAGGUUAAUAACCUAGUCGAUUGACGUUACCCGCAGAAGAAGCACCGGCUAACUCCGUGCCAGCAGCCGCGGUAAUACGGAGGGUGCAAGCGUUAAUCGGAAUUACUGGGCGUAAAGCGCACGCAGGCGGUCUGUCAAGUCGGAUGUGAAAUCCCCGGGCUCAACCUGGGAACUGCAUUCGAAACUGGCAGGCUAGAGUCUUGUAGAGGGGGGUAGAAUUCCAGGUGUAGCGGUGAAAUGCGUAGAGAUCUGGAGGAAUACCGGUGGCGAAGGCGGCCCCCUGGACAAAGACUGACGCUCAGGUGCGAAAGCGUGGGGAGCAAACAGGAUUAGAUACCCUGGUAGUCCACGCCGUAAACGAUGUCGAUUUGGAGGUUGUGCCCUUGAGGCGUGGCUUCCGGAGCUAACGCGUUAAAUUCGACCGCCUUGGGGAGUACGGCCGCAAGGUUAAAACUCAAAUGAAUUCGACGGGGGCCCGCACAAGCGGUGGAGCAUGUGGUUUAAUUCGAUGCAACGCGAAGAACCUUACCUGGUCUUGACAUCCACAGAACUUUCCAGAGAUGGAUUGGUGCCUUCGGGAACUGUGAUACAGGUGCUGCAUGGCUGUCGUCAGCUCGUGUUGUGAAAUGUUGGGUUAAGUCCCGCAACGAGCGCAACCCUUAUCCUUUGUUGCCAGCGGUUCGGCCGGGAACUCUUAGGAAACUGCCCGUGAUAAACUGGAAGAAGGUGGGGAUGACCUCCAGUCCUCAUGGCCCUUACCACCAGGGCUACCCACGUGCUACCAUGGCAUAUACCAAGAGAAUCCACCUCACGAGAGCAAGCGGACCUCAUAAAGUAUGUCGUAAUCCGGAAUGGAAUCUGCAACUCCACUCCCUGAAAUCCGAAUCGCUUGUAAUCGUAGAUCACAAUGCUACGGUGAAUACCUUCCCGGGCCUUGUACACACACGGCCGUCACACCAUGGGGAGUGUUUGUGCAAAACGAAGUAGGUCUGCUUCAACCUUCGGGAGAGGCGCUUACCACUUUGUGAUUCAUGUACUGG